rnacentral:rRNA from 1 species
CAGCAGCAGCCGCGGGAAUACAGAGGGUGCGAGCGUUAAUCGGAUUUACUGGGCGUAAAGCGUGCGUAGGCGGCUUCUUAAGUCGGAUGUGAAAUCCCUGAGCUUAACUUAGGAAUUGCAUUCGAUACUGGGAAGCUAGAGUAUGGGAGAGGAUUGUAGAAUUCCAGGUGUAGCGGUGAAAUGCGUAGAGAUCUGGAGGAAUACCGAUGGCGAAGGCAGCCAUCUGGCCUAAUACUGACGCUGAGGUACGAAAGCAUGGGGAGCAAACAGGAUUAGAUACCCCUGUAGUCCCUGUCUCUUAUAC